GAUGAACGCUGACAGAAUGCUUAACACAUGCAAGUCUUUGGCGAAGCUGUGCUCGCACAGCCUAGCCAAGGCGGACGGGUGAGUAACGCGUAAGGAACUUGCCCCGCAGUCAGGGAUAACAGACGGAAACGACUGAUAAGACCUGGUAAAGUCAGGCGGACUCAUGUCCAGCCUGAUGAAAAGAGAUGCUGCAGGAGAGCCUUGCGUCCUAUUAGCUUGUUGGUGGGGUAACGGCCCACCAAGGCGAUGAUAGGUAGCCGGCCUGAGAGGGUGGACGGCCACAAGGGGACUGAGAUACGGCCCUUACUCCUACGGGAGGCAGCAGUGGGGAAUAUUGGACAAUGGGGGCAACCCUGAUCCAGCAAUUCUGUGUGCACGAUGAAGGUUUUCGGAUUGUAAAGUGCUUUCAGCAGGGAAGAAAAAAAUGACGGUACCUGCAGAAGAAGCGACGGCUAAAUACGUG
rnacentral:rRNA from 1 species